rnacentral:rRNA from 1 species
GACGAACGCUGGCGGCGUGCUUAACACAUGCAAGUCGAACGGAAAGGCCCUGCUUUUGUGGGGUGCUCGAGUGGCGAACGGGUGAGUAACACGUGAGUAACCUGCCCUUGACUUUGGGAUAACUUCAGGAAACUGGGGCUAAUACCGGAUAGGAGCUCCUGCUGCAUGGUGGGGGUUGGAAAGUUUCGGCGGUUGGGGAUGGACUCGCGGCUUAUCAGCUUGUUGGUGGGGUAGUGGCUUACCAAGGCUUUGACGGGUAGCCGGCCUGAGAGGGUGACCGGACACAUUGGGACUGAGGUACGGCCCGGACUCCUACGGGAGGCAGCAGUGGGGAAUAUUGCACAAUGGGCGGAAGCCUGAUGCAGCAACGCCGCGUGCGGGAUGACGGCCUUCGGGUUGUAAACCGCUUUCGCCUGUGACGAAGCGUGAGUGACGGUACUGGGUAAAGAAGCACCGGCUAACUACGUG